rnacentral:rRNA from 1 species
UACGUAGGUGGCAAGCGUUGUCCGGAAUUAUUGGGCGUAAAGAGCGCGCAGGCGGUCGGAUAAGUCGAGUGUGAAAGCCCCUGGCUCAACCAGGGAGGGUCAUUCGAUACUGUUCGAUUCGAAGGCAGGAGAGGGAAGUGGAAUUCCGGGUGUAGUGGUGAAAUGCGUAGAUAUCCGGAGGAACACCAGUGGCGAAGGCGACUUUCUGGCCUGUUCUUGACGCUGAGGCGCGAAAGCUAGGGGAGCAAACGGG